GAUGAACGCUGGCGGCGUGCCUAAUACAUGCAAGUCGAGCGAACGGACGAGAAGCAUGCUUCUCUGAUGUUAGCGGCGGACGGGUGAGUAACACGUGGAUAACCUACCUAUAAGACUGGGAUAACUUCGGGAAACCGGAGCUAAUACCGGAUAAUAUUUUGAACCGCAUGGUUCAAAAGUGAAAGACGGUCUUGCUGUCACUUAUAGAUGGAUCCGCGCUGCAUUAGCUAGUUGGUAAGGUAACGGCUUACCAAGGCAACGAUGCAUAGCCGACCUGAGAGGGGGGUAGCCGACACUGGAGCGUGACCGCGGUCAAGACGCCUACGGGAGGCAGCAGUAGGCAAUCUUCCGCAGUGGGCGAGAGCCUGACGGAGCAACGCGGCGUGAGUGAUGAAGGUCUUCGGAUCGUAAAACUCGGUUAUUAGGGAAGAACAGAUGUGGAAGGAGCUGUGCACAGCGUGACGGUACCUAGUCAGAAAGCAACGGCUAACUACGUG
rnacentral:rRNA from 1 species